rnacentral:rRNA from 1 species
AUGGAGAGCAAGCACACCGACCAGGCAAACGUGAAGGCGAAGCUCAGCACCAUGCACUCGAAGGUGAUCUGUUGCAAGCUCUACAUCUCUGAAAGCCAAAAUGCGGCUGUUGUCGAUGCCAUCAGCCGCAUAGGCCAGAAAGACCCUGAGGUGGUUCUACUCAACAAGUUCGAGGAUGAGUACUACAACCGUGUCCGCUACACGCUUGUCUCCUACAUCACCAACGAAAGCUCGACUGGUGGAGCUGUAUUUAGCCCAAUCAGGAAGGUACUGCUGGCGAUGAUCGAGGCUGCAUUUUCAGCCAUAAACCUCGAAGUGCACUGUGGAACUCAUCCAAGGAUUGGUGUCGUCGAUGACAUUUCAUUCCACCCCUUGAAUCAAGCGGACACAAUAGAGGAUGCUGCUCAGCUGGCUAAGCUGGUAGCCUCUGACAUUGGCAAUGGCUUGCAAGUUCCAGUGUUCCUAUAUGCGGCAGCACACCCCACCAGCAAGAGCGUCAGUGCAGUCCGGCGUGAGCUCGGCUACUUCCGGCCAAACCACAAGGGCGUCCAAUGGGCAGGCCCGGUGCUCCCUGAUACUCUACCGAUGAAGCCAGAUGUGGGCCCAGUUCACGUUCCUCGUGAAAGAGGCGCCACCAUGGUCGGAGCUCAACCUUUGGUCGAGAGCUACAAUGUGCCGAUAUUCUGCAAGGAUGUCCCAACCGUGAGAAGAAUCACCCGGAGGGUGACUGGACGGAGCGGAGGGCUCCCGUCAGUACAGGCACUUGCACUUUUCCAUGGCGACAAUUGCACGGAGAUCGCAUGUUUUUUGCUGGAUCCAGACCACGUCGGCGCCGAUCGGGUUCAAUGGCUGGUGGAGCAGAUUGCAGAGGAGCAAGGGCUUGAAGUUGAAAAGGGCUAUUUCACUGACCUGUCAAAGCAUAUGAUGCUAGAAAGGUACUCCGAGAUGGUUUCUGCAGCUGACUGA